GACAGAGGUCCCGAGCGUUAGGCGGAAUCACUGGGCUUAAAGCGUGUGUAGGCGGACGCCUAAGUACCUUGUGAAAUCCCACGGCUCAACCGUGGAACUGCUCGGUAUACUGGGUGUCUUGAGCCACUUAGGGGCGACCGGAACAGACGGUGGAGCGGUGAAAUGCGUAGAUAUCGUCUGGAACGCCGAAGGUGAAAACAGGUCGCUGGGAGUGCGCUGACGCUGAGACACGAAAGCCAGGGGAGCGAACGGG
rnacentral:rRNA from 1 species